rnacentral:misc_RNA from 1 species
GAUGAAGAACGUAGCGAAAUGCGAUAAGUAAUGUGAAUUGCAGAAUUCAGUGAAUCAUCGAAUCUUUGAACGCACAUUGCGCCCGCUGGUAUUCCGGCGGGCAUGCCUGUUCGAGCGUCAUUUCAACCCUCAAGCCCCCCGGGUUUGGUGUUGGGGAUCGGCUCUGCCUCACGGCGGUGCCGCCCCCGAAAUACAUUGGCGGUCUCGCUGCAGCCUCCAUUGCGUAGUAGCUAACACCUCGCAACUGGAACGCUGCGCGGCCAUGCCGUAAAACCCCAACUUCUGAAUGUUGACCUCGGAUCAGGUAGGAAUACCCGCUGAACUUAAGCAUAUCAAUAAGCGGAGGA